rnacentral:rRNA from 1 species
GACGAACGCUGGCGGCGUGCUUAACACAUGCAAGUCGAACGGAAAGGCCUGCUUUCCCUUGUGGAUUGCGGGUACUCGAGUGGCGAACGGGUGAGUAACACGUGAGUGAUCUGCCCCCAACUUGGGUAUAAGCCUGGGAAACUGGGUCUAAUUCCCGAUAGGACUGCAGGGUGGUGCCUGUGGUGGAAAACGAUUUUCUAGUGGUUGGGGAUGAGCUCGCGGCCUAUCAGCUUGUUGGUGGGGUAAUGGCCUACCAAGGCGGCGACGGGUAGCCGGACUGAGAGGGUGGACGGCCACAUUGGGACUGAGAUACGGCCCAGACGCCUACGGGAGGCAGCAGUGGGGAAUAUUGCACAAUGGGCGGAAGCCUGAUGCAGCGACGCCGCGUGGGGGAUGACGGCCUUCGGGUGGUAAACUCCUUUCGACCGCGAGGAAGCCACCUGGUUGGAAGGGUGGUGACGGUAGUGGUAGAAGAAGCACCGGCUAACUACGUG